rnacentral:rRNA from 1 species
CCUACGGGUGGCAGCAGUGAGGAAUAUUGGUCAAUGGCCGCAAGGCUGAACCAGCCAAGUCGCGUGAGGGAUGACGGUCCUAUGGAUUGUAAACCUCUUUUGUCAGGGAGCAAAGGGCGCCACGUGUGGCGUUUUGCGAGUCCCUGAAGAAAAAGCAUCGGCUAACUCCGUGCCAGCAGCCGCGGUAAUACGGAGGAUGCGAGCGUUAUCCGGAUUUAUUGGGUUUAAAGGGUGCGCAGGCGGAAUGUCAAGUCAGCGGUAAAAUUUCGGGGUCCAACCCCGUAGUGCCGUUGAAACUGGCGGUCUUGAGUGAGCGAGAAGUAUGCGGAAUGCGUGGUGUAGCGGUGAAAUGCAUAGAUAUCACGCAGAACUCCGAUUGCGAAGGCAGCAUACCGGCGCUCAACUGACGCUGAUGCUCGAAAGUGUGGGUAUCAAACAGGAUUAGAUACCCGAGUAGUC